AUAUUUUACUAAAUUAGAAAUAUAUUAAAAGCAUCAAAACUCACAUUUGAUAUUUAUAUAUACACUAAAAAUUAUAUAAUAAUAAAUAAUACAAAAUUAGAAAUAAAAGUUAUAUGAUACCUAUAUAUAAAUGUAUAUAUUAAUCAAUCAAUUUUUUUUACUUAAAAAGUAGGAUUAAUUGCAUACAGUAUCCUGUAAAUAUAGCGAAUUAUAAAUAUAUUCCCACAAAUUCAGCUUUCUUAUGUUAUCCUGCAAAAGUUUCAAUAUUUUCAAAUAUGUCAUUGUCGUUAUAAUCCGUUAGAAAAUUUUAAUUAACCACAAGUAAAAUAUUUAAUCCUAAUUAGUCAAUGAGAUAAUUGACAUUUUUAUCCUUCUUAUAUUAUACCUUCUCCUCUCAAUCAAAUCUCUAGCUAUGGAAACUCUUCUUCUUCUUUAUCUUUCUUUUCCUCUUCCUCUUUCUCUCUCUCCUUCAUACUAGUUUCGAAUCUGUAGCAAGAAUUUCCCCCUUUCCAUUCAUCCGGACGCAUGUUGCUUCACCCAUGUCGUUUCGUGUUGCUUCCUUAUUUAAUUUCCUCGAUUAUUUUUUCUUAUUUUGCUGAAAAAAAUUUAGGAGAAAAGUAGUGAGAGAAGAGAUUGCAACAAUACUGAAUUAGGCUGGGUUUUAAAGAGAAAGAAUAUAAGAAAGUAAAGUUUUUUCUACAAGAUUAUAGCAGUUGAGAUUUUUGGAGGGACAUAUUUAUUAUGGUGAAAUUGACAUUUCACCUAUCUACUAUUAAAAAAUAAGCAAUUCUCUAACAAUAAGAAAUUAGAGGAACAAAUAUGAAUAUCACUGAACUUUUAUAUGAAAAAGAAUUAAAAGUAAAUGAACUUUGUAGAAAUACAUUUGCUAUUCAAUAUAUUUUCCAAGAGCGGUAUACAAUUAACUCUAAAAAAUAUAAUACAAAUAUUUUUUAAAAAAUUAUGAUAAAAUGGCUUAACUAACAAAUAUAAUUAUAAUUAAUUGAUUUGAGACACACAAAGCUGGUUUUAGAUUUAUUUUUGGUUAAUUUCAUGCAGGUCCCUGCAAACAUAGUGAAUUAUAAAUAUAUUCUUAUAAAGUUCAACUUUCAAAUAUGUUCCUCUCAUUUAUUAUCGUUAAACCAUUGUUUAUUUUAUAAGUGAAAUUAUAUUUUUGCCAUCACGAAUAUAUCUUCCUAAAAACCUCAAUUAUUAAUUGAAGAAAGAUAGAAAAGUCAAUUCACCGUAUUAAGUAAUUAGGAUUAAAUAUUUUUUUAUUUAUGAUUAAUUAAUUUUUUCUAACGAAUACUAGCAGUAGACAUAUCUAAAAAUAUUAGAAUUUUUAUAAAGAUAAUAUAUAAAAAUUAAACUUUAUAAAAAUAUAUUUAUAGGGACAUAUACGAAAGUAACAUUUUUUUUUUUUUUU
rnacentral:lncRNA from 1 species